rnacentral:rRNA from 1 species
GACGAAUGCUGGCGGCGUGCCUAAUACAUGCAAGUUGAGCGAUGAAGAUUGGUGCUUGCACCAAUUUGAAGAGCAGCGAACGGGUGAGUAACGCGUGGGGAAUCUGCCUUUGAGCGGGGGACAACAUUUAGAAACGAAUGCUAAUACCGCAUAACAACUUUAAACAUAAGUUUUAAGUUUGAAAGAUGCAAUUGCAUCGCUCAAAGAUGAUCCCGCGUUGUAUUAGCUAGUUGGUGAGGUAAAGGCUCACCAAGGCGAUGAUACAUAGCCGACCUGAGAGGGUGAUCGGCCACAUUGGGACUGAGACGCGGCCCAAACCCCUACGGGAGGCAGCAGUAGGGAAUCUUCGGCAAUGGACGAAAGUCUGACCGAGCAACGCCGCGUGAGUGAAGAAGGUUUUCGGAUCGUAAAACUCUGUUGGUAGAGAAGAACGUUGGUGAGAGUGGAAAGCUCAUCAAGUGACGGUAACUACCCAGAAAGGGACGGCUAACUACGUGCCAGCCGCCGCCGUAA